UGAAAACACUGUGACACCCAGAACAGUCACAGCAAGUGGGGACAGACACUUUGUUUCGAAUAUUCAGAGACAUCUCAGGAGGGAUGCCCCAGCUCAAGCUGCUGCUCCAACAGGACAGUCCUACACUACAGGUUUUGAUCCAGGCCAAAAGGGGUACGAUUGAUUCUGCAGUGCUCAGAUUCUGGAUGCAGUAUGAGGGGACAUCGUUCCUCUGCAGAUGUUACGGCUGCUGAAAUGAGGAAGAAGGAAAGGAAAGGAAAGGAAGAAAAGAAGGAAGAAAGAAAAGUCAGGAACCUGUUGAGGUUGUAACGACAAGGAAAUAUUCAAGAGGAAGCCUUUCAGAACCUUCAUACACUUGGUGAGAAUGUAAAUUCGUACGACCACUAUGGAGAACACUUUGGAGCUUCUUCAAAAAACUAAAAAUAGAGCUACCAUAUGGGGCGAUCCAGCAAUGCUCCCACUGGGUAGAGACCUGAAAGAAAGGAAAUCAGUAGGACAAAGAGAUAGCUGCACUCCUGUGUUUGCUGCAGCACUGUUCACUAUAGCCAAGAUUUGGAAGCAACCUAAGUGUUUACCAAUAGAUGAAUGCAUAUAGAAAAUGUGGUACAAAUACACAAUGGAGUAUUAUUCAGCCAUAAAAAAGAAUGAGAUCCUGUCAUUUGCAACAACAUAGAUGGAGCUAGGGAUCAUUAAGCUAAGUGAAAUAAGCAAGGCAAAGAAAGACAAGCAUCACAUGUUCUCACUUAUUUGUGGGAUACAAAAAUCAAAACAAUUGAAUUCAUGAACAUAAAGAGUAGAAGGAAGGUUACCAGAGGCUGGGAAGAGUAGUAGCAGGUGAGGGUGAGGUGGGGAUGGUUAAUGUUAAUGGGUACAGAAAAAAAAUAGAAUGAAUAAGACUUACUAUGUGAUAGCACGACAGGUUGACUAUAGUAAUAACUUAAUUGCACAUUUUAAAAUAACCAAAAGAAUAUAAUUGGAUUUUUUGCAACACAAAGGAUAAAUGCUUGAGGGGGUGUAAUUCUCAUUCUCCAUAUGUAAUUAUUACACAUUGCAUGCCGGCAUCAAAGCAUUUCACUUACCCAGUAAAUAUAUACACCUACUAUGUAUCCACAAAAUUAAAAAUAAAAAUUUGUUUAAAGAAUCUUUAAAAAUAAUGGCAAUGACAUAAUCAAAAUACUUCAUAAAUAAUUUAAUAUUGAUUACAUGUGGAAAUACUAUUUUUUAUAUAUUUAGUUAAAUAAAAAAAAUUCCAACUUCAAAAAAAAAAAAAGAAAUCUUUCAUUGUAGGGAAAAGUAGAAACAAAUCCUGAGGAAGACAUAAUUUUAUUGUCAUCUCUGUGGAGAUGUUCACUGAGAGUCUUGAAAAUGAGAUGCUUUCUGGGUAGAAAGAGACCAGAAGGGUGUAUGAUCCCAAGGGCUAAGAGAGUUUUGAGAUAAAAAGAAAUAAUCAGGCUGGGCACAGUGGCUCACGACUGUAAUCCCAGCACUUUGGAAGGCUGAGGCAGGCAGAUCACAAGGUCAGGAGUUCGAGACCAGCCUGACCAACACGGUGAAACCCCAUCUCUACUAAAAAUACAAAAAUUAGCUGGGUUUGGUAGUAUCCGCCUGUAAUCCCAG
rnacentral:lncRNA from 1 species